rnacentral:tRNA from 1 species
AUUUAUAUAGUUUAAAAAAAACUUUAUAUUUUCAUUAUAAAAAUAAUAUAUUUAUAUUAAUAUAUAUUUAUAAAUA